rnacentral:rRNA from 2 species
GUGAAUUGCAGAACUCCGUGAGUCAAUGGCCUCCUGAACGUACGUUGCACUCUUGGGGUUUCCUGAGAGUAUGUCUGCUUCAGUG